rnacentral:tRNA from 1 species
GCCUGGGUGGCUCAGUCAGUUGAGCACCCGACUCUUGAUCUCGGCUCAGGUCACGAUCUCAUAGGCUGUGGGUUCAAGCCCCACAUCGGGCU